rnacentral:rRNA from 1 species
UACGGAGGGUGCAAGCGUUAUCCGGAAUCACUGGGUUUAAAGGGUGCGUAGGCGGUUUUGUAAGUCAGAGGUGAAAUUUUGUCGCUUAACGAUAAGACUGCCUUUGAAACUGUGAGACUUGAAUGAAGAUGAGGUUAGCGGAAUGAGACAUGUAGCGGUGAAAUGCAUAGAUAUGUCUUAGAACACCAAUUGCGAAGGCAGCUAGCUGGUCUUUUAUUGACGCUGAGGCACGAAAGCGUGGGGAGCGAACAGG